rnacentral:rRNA from 1 species
UACGAAGGGGGCUAGCGUUGCUCGGAAUUACUGGGCGUAAAGCGCACGUAGGCGGCUUUCUAAGUCGGGGGUGAAAUCCUGGAGCUCAACUCCAGAACUGCCUUCGAUACUGGAGAGCUCGAGUCCGGGAGAGGUGAGUGGAACUGCGAGUGUAGAGGUGAAAUUCGUAGAUAUUCGCAAGAACACCAGUGGCGAAGGCGGCUCACUGGCCCGGUACUGACGCUGAGGUGCGAAAGCUAGGGGAGCAAACAGG